UCUUGCAGCAGCAAGCACUGUCCUUCACAUGUUGCUGAGCUCUGUGAAACAACAGGGGAAAGACUUCCUGUGAGGGACUUGAUCUCCAUUUCCAGGUGCAGUGCCCAGCAGCAAGGAUGUUGGGCACGCCACACCGCGCCUUUCCUAAGCUCCCCCACCCACAGUUGUUGCUGCCAAACUCUGUGUGCUCAUCUGAUACACGAAGGGGAAGCUGGCCUCUCCCUGACCUCUAAAAACACAGACACUGAGUGUAACUGGAGGCUGUACCUGUGUUGUCGGUUAUUGGCUUUAAGUUUGUCAAGUUUUCCAGGACAAGGAAGAGUAGCACCAAAUUACAUGUGGGAUUGUGGCUGCAGUUGCCCCAUGUAACUGUCAAAGGUAUGGCUGGAGAACAUACAUCUUGGUGGGCCGGGCCAGCUACUGCUAUUCCUCUUCAUGUCUUAGCUGGGGUGAAGGCCAAGUGUGUCUGACGGGCAGUCCUAUUCACCAAGAUAUACCCUGUUCUCUGGAGACAGAUGGUCAGCAUGGAGAAUGACCAAUGUGGACCACAACGAAGAGCUGAAGAGUGGCAGAGUAACAGCUGGUCUGCAGGGGCACGGGCUGAGCAAGAGAGCUGUGUAAAUUGCCUUCUGCUACUCUCAUUUGCGCACAA